GUAUAGGAGGUCCAGCCUGCCCAGUGACUACAAGUUCAACGGCCGCGGUAUUUUGACCGUGCAAAGGUAGCGCAAUCACUUGUCUCUUAAAUAGAGACCUGUAUGAAUGGCUAGACGAGGGCUUAACUGUCUCCCCCUUCCAGUCAGUGAAAUUGAUCUAUCCGUGCAGAAGCGGGUGUAAUUAUACAAGACGAGAAGACCCUUUGGAGCUUAAGGUAUAAAAUUCAGCCACGUUAAGUGACUCUACAAAAAGCAAGAACCUAGUGGCCAAUGAAGUUUUACCUUCGGUUGGGGCGACCACGGAGGAAAAAUAAGCCUCCGAGUGGACUGGGAUAAAUCCCAAAGCCAAUAGAUACAUCUAUAAGCCGCAGAACAUCUGACCAAAAAUGAUCCGACUGAAAAGCCGAUCAACGAACCAAGUUACCCUAGGGAUAACAGCGCAAUCCUCUCCCAGAGUCCAUAUCGACGAGGGGGUUUACGACCUCGAUGUUGGAUCAGGACAUCCUAAUGGUGCAGCCGCUAUUAAGGGUUCGUUUGUUCAACGAUUAAAGUCCUACGUGAUCUGAGUUCAGACCGG
rnacentral:rRNA from 1 species